AGCAAAAUGAUGAGAUUAAGAUGACUGAAUCUGAUGUUGAAUUCUAUGUCAUACUGUGUCUUCAAAGUUCUCUGAUCGCU
rnacentral:snoRNA from 1 species